GCACUGGCAAAAUCCAGUGUCGGGAUUCGUACCCCGCCUCAAUUCACUAGUCGCAUAGAGCGUCAGCAAAACGCUGCUCU
rnacentral:sRNA from 1 species